rnacentral:rRNA from 1 species
ACGAAGUCCUGUUGAGUAAGAGAUUCAUAUACUUUAGAAGGCGUAUAAUUGUUGUACUUCUCUAACGGAGAAUAGAACGAUUAUAACAGUCGACUAAAUGAUGCAUUUCUCUUACUCACGUUGGAGCUCUGACUGCUUAUAUCGAUAUAAAUUUGCUUGUCUUUGUGAUGUAGAACUUCGGGCUCUAAACUUACAUUGUUUUGCAAGUGUAAAAUUUAUAUUAUAAUGAGUAGGUGAAUUACUUACAAUUGUAAGUGUAUUCAGAUCAUUAGUAUCGUUAAGAUAUUAAUCAUUGUUAUAAUGGCACUUUCAAGACAUGUGCUUGAAGACUCAUUAUAUAUAGUGAUUGCAAAUAUCUUUUUCCUUUACUAAUCGAUGAUCCAGAGUAAGUAGGUCGGUCAUCCAUCUGACCCGUCUUGAAACACGGACCAAGGAGCCCAACAUAUAUGCAAGUCGCACAGUCUUGAAUAGGCUUGUGAGGCGAAAUAAACAUAAUGGUGUGAUCAUUUAUUCAUUGCAAUAAAUGCGCAACACCAACCUGUUCAUUCUUUAUAUUAAAAGUUGAACGGCGUUUGAGCAUACAUGUUGGUACCCGAAAGAUGGUGAACUAUACUUGGGCAAGACGAAGCCAGAGGAAACUCUGGUGGAGGUCUGUAGCGAUUCUGACGUGCAAAUCGAUCGUCAGACCUGAGUAUA